UGAGAUCUCGGCAAAAAGUCUGACGAUUUAUUCCAAAACAUGAUGCAUGAUGGGAUACACUAAGCUUUGUAUAGCGCUCCAGAGCAGUAUUGGAGAGGUUUAGUGUGUGUUAAGGACGCUGUGCUUUGGCAUUAUUAAGACCGGGGACAGUCUUGUGCACACACUGUCACGUACACACACUCUCAAGUGGCCAAGACUGCAAGUGUGGGUAUCUGGACAGGGUCAAAGUCUUAAAAAUGAUCCCUAAACACAUCACAGUCUUAAUAAUCCAGUUUAACACUUGUAUGAUAUUGUACAAGCCCCAGGACUGUCUCAUCUGACACUAUCAAAGAAUUCAUAUGACUAUAGCUUGUUAUUAAUUACUUGCUUUCAAUAAUGGAUUCAUUUAACAUUUAAUUAUACAGCAUCUUUACAGAGGUGUAAUGUACAAGCUGCACGUAAUUAAUAAUAUGUCCUUCCUUCUGUCUUACAGGAUUUUUUCCAGAUAAUGCUGUUCUUCUUUUUCAGGUCUAAAAUAUCGAGCUCAACAGCUAUUUUAAGAGCCAACCCUCACAAACCUUCCUAAAACCUAAAAGAGCUAUUACUGAGUCUCAGCGAAUCUUGCCAUGAUCAGCUCUUCCCAGAAGAGAAGGAAGACCAAGGAUAUGAUUUGCUCAGGAUGAGGAAUGAAGAUGGCCAUCUUGAGCUCAAACAAACAGAAGUCCUCUGAUGAUCUCAUCAGCCAAAUGAGGGCUUUUGACCAAGUGAUGCUCUUGAAAGGAGUGAAAGAAGAGGAUGUGGUAAAUUGUCUUCAGAGAAAAGCUUCUCAAAAGAUCUUAAAACAGCUUGAAGAAUGGUAAGUGUACAGUACUACAAGGGUCAUAGUUACUCACCCUGCUAAAACCACACAGAACAUAAGCUGCGCUCUCUGUCCAUUAAACAACUUCUUCUGCAUUGUUUGUUUCACUUUGACCAGGUCUG